CAGGCGACGAAUUAAGGGUGCAUUUUCAAGGAGUCGAGCGCGGUAGCCGCUGAUCCUCUUCGGAGGGUGACGCUUGUGGAACGAGGCCGGCGGACGGGUGAGUAAUUUGUGGGCAACCUGCCUGUAAGACUGGGAUAACCCCGGGAAACCGGGGCUAAUACCGGAUAAUACUUUUCAUCACCUGAUGGAAAGUUGAAAGGUGGCUUCUUGCUCCACUUCAGAUGGGCCCGCGGCGCAUUAGCUAGUUGGUGAGGUAACGGCUCACCAAGGCAACGAUGCGUAGCCGACCUGAGAGGGUGAUCGGCCACACUGGGACUGAGACACGGCCCAGACUCCUACGGGAGGCAGCAGUAGGGAAUCUUCCGCAAUGGACGAAAGUCUGACGGAGCAACGCCGCGUGAGUGAUGAAGGUUUUCGGAUCGUAAAGCUCUGUUGUUAGGGAAGAACAAGUGCGUUCGAAUAGGGCGGCACCUUGACGGUACCUAACCAGAAAGCCCCGGCUAAUUACGUGCAGCAGCCGCGGUAUACGUAGGGGGCAAGCGUUGUCCGAAUUUUUGGGCGUAAGCGCGCGCAGGCGGUCCUUUAAGUCUGAUGUGAAAGCCCACGGCUUAACCGUGGAGGGUCCUUGAAACUGGAGGACUUAGUACAGAAGAGGAGAGUGAAUUCCACGUGAGCGGUAAAUGCGUAGAGAUGUGGAGGACACCAGUGCAAGGCGACUCUUGGUCGUACGACGCUAUGAGAAGCGUGAGCAACGCGAACUCCAAGGUUAUUCCAAGGGGGUUUCGCCCCAUUGUGCUGCACGCUACGCAGUUAAGCACUCCGCCUGGGGAGUACCGACCGCAAGGUUGAAACCUUUUAGGAAUUGACGGGGACCCGCACAAGCGGUGGAGCAUGUGGUUUAAUUCGAAGCAACGCGAAGAACCUUACCAAAUCUUGACAUCUUUGACCGCUCUAGAGAUAGAGUCUUCCCCUUCGGGGGACAAAGUGACAGGUGGUGCAUGGUUGUCGUCAGCUCGUGUCGUGAGAUGUUGGGUUAAUGUCCCGCAACGAGCGCAACCCUUAAGCUUAGUUCCAUCAUUAAGUUGGGCACUCUAAGUUGACUGCCGGUGACAAACCGGAGGAAGGUGGGGAUGACGUCAAAUCAUCAUGCCCCUUAUGAUUUGGGCUACACACGUGCUACAAUGGACAAUACAAAGGGUAGCUAAACCGCGGGGACAACGCAAAUCCAUAAAGUUGUUCUCAGUUCGGAUUGUGGUCAGCAACUCCACUACUUGAACGCAGGAAUCCUAAGUAAUCCGUAGAUCAGCAUGCCGCGGUGAAUACGAAAACGGGCCUUGUACACACCGCCCGUCACACCACGAGAGUUGGUACACCCGAAUUGGGUGAAGUACCUUUGACCUUGGUACAACCCUNAUNUNUCUGGG
rnacentral:rRNA from 1 species